rnacentral:tRNA from 2 species
GUCCCGGUAGUUCAACGGACAGAAUAGGCCCCUCCUAAGGGCCUGAUGCUGGUUCGACUCCAGCUCGGGACG